rnacentral:rRNA from 1 species
UAGGGAAUCUUCCACAAUGGGCGCAAGCCUGAUGGAGCAACACCGCGUGAGUGAAGAAGGGUUUCGGCUCGUAAAGCUCUGUUGUUAAAGAAGAACACGUAUGAGAGUAACUGUUCAUACGUUGACGGUAUUUAACCAGAAAGUCACGGCUAACUACUUGCUAG